rnacentral:rRNA from 1 species
AGGACGAACGCUGGCGGCGUGCUUAACACAUGCAAGUCGAACGGGUUCCAAUCAUUCGCAAGAAUGAGGAAGAACUAGUGGCGAACGGGUGCGUAACACGUGAGGAACCUAUCCCAGUCUCUGGAAUAACAGGUGGAAACACCUGCUAAUACCGGAUGCCGUUGGACCAUCGCAUGGUGGACCAACGAAAGAUUUAGUCGGAUUGGGAGGGCCUCGCGGCCUAUCGAGUCCGUUGGUUGGGCGGGGUAACCGCCCAACCGAAGGCUUCGACGGGUAGCGUGGUCUGAGAGGAUGAGU